CUACCUGUAGCAGAGAACCCCGUCAGCCGUCCCUUUCAACUUGCAAAUUCACUCCCAAAAAUCCAAACCUUCAAAUUUCAAGCUAUAUUAGAUGGAAGUAGAAGAUAUAAGUUUAAAUUUUAUAAUUUUCUUUGUAAAUUUCAGUUUUUUGUCAAAUUAUGCGCAAAAUAUAUAUCUCCAGAUUGGUGAUUUUUGAAAGAAUUUUACCUGAAUUUCAAUGUCAUACCACUCUGAAUUUUGUAUACUUAAUUGAUUCAAUGCCCUACCUGUCUGAAUUUCAUACUUUAUUGUAUACUUUAUCAUGCCCUACCUAUAUGUUGUAUACUUUACCUUUACCUGAAUUUCAUGCGAAAAAUAUAUCUCAAUGAAGUAUGAAUGAAUUAAGUUUAGGUGAAUAUUUAAUUAUUUAUGUACCUCGAACUUUUUCCGAAUUGCUGCAAAAUUGUGAGGGAUGGUUGGACAACAUGGAAGACGACUGGUUGAUUUUCUCAUCUUUUCAAAAAUCGUUUAUGAGAUUAGUGGUCAAUCUCUUACGAAUGAAUUAAAUUCAGAUUGCUGGUCAAUUUUGUAAGUUAAGAUUAAGUUUAGCUGGGUGAUUUUCUCUUCUAUUAAAAAAUGCUAAGAAGAAGCUAUUACAGAUCAUGAUCAUCCACCAUACAACUAAUGAUGGUUUACACUUUCAUUAAGUUGGGAAAUGCUUCCAUUUCCAUUAGAAUUAGGUGGAAUUCCCACUGCUCUAGUUUUUCCAAUGCUGGUGUAGUCACAGCCUACUGCUAAUUUAACUAGGUCAUACAAGGUUGUGGAAGUAAAAAAGUUCAAUUGAAAUUAUGGCAAAAACAAGAAGAAAAUUAGAGAAUCGGUUGACAACACUAGUUAGACCAAUUAGUAGAUUGGUCAUUAUAUUAUUAUGUGCUACCCCAGUAACCCUUUGUAAUUUUUCUUAAGAUUCUCAAUUACUGGGCUACAUGUAGCAGUUCUUGUUGAUGAAGGUAAUCCAUGACCUGCUAUAAUUGGCUAAAUAUAUUAUUUUCUUAGUCUUUGAAUGCUUCAUUUUUAUGCUUCUUUUAAUAAAUUUCAGUUUCUUCAUCUACAUCUAAUUUUAUGAACAAAAAUGUCCCAUGGUGUUAUCACAUUUCACAAUUAAUGCGGACUAUGUUUGAAUAACCAAUUAAUGCAAAUGAUUUGCUUUUGGUGGAUUUUUCACUAGUUUCAUUACAUCUUUUGUUU
rnacentral:lncRNA from 1 species